rnacentral:lncRNA from 1 species
CAGAUUCUGUACAUAUCAUCAAAAUUCGUUAACAUCCCAAUUGAAAUCGUUACCACAGAAAUCCUGUAUGAAUUCUUGUCUUUCUUCUUAGAUUCUUUCUUUCUACUUCUUGUUUCCAACAUUCUAUGCUUCUCUUCUUCGUAAAUUUCUGAGAACCAAAUGUUUGUUAAAAUGCCGCAACCAACAGAAAUGUUGUUCCGAUCAGCUAGCUUCUGUACAAGAGUGGGAUCAACUUUUUCUCCUUUCCAGUCAUAUACAUUGAAUGCAACUGCUGGCCCUCUUUCUAACUUUAUCUUUGGUCCGUAGAUUCUGAUCAAGGGGAGCCCAUUUUCUGAAUGUGGAUGCUGAAGAGACAUUAAUGCGUUCACCAGCCAGUUUGUAAGGCAUCUUGUUCUACUACUGAUCAGUAUUAGGCCUAGUGUAUCUGCAUGAUCCAAACCCCGGCAUUCGAUUUCUCCUGAGGUUCUACCGGCAUCGGAUUCUUGGUUUCUUGAUUGUGCUGUAUGAGGGGUUUCAUCCAACUCAAUAAUUUCAGAAACUGAUGAUUCUUUUAGGUGAAUUUGUUCCGGAGUUUCUUCGAUUUCUUGUUGUGAUAUUGCUGUUUCUUGUUCGUUUUCUGCCUUGUUAAAGGCUAAUUGUUCAAACGAUUCAUUUGCUGGCAAUAGGCUGACAAUUCCCAUGCUUGUGCAGGAUUUGCACAACUCUGAGACACUGGAUUUCUUAAUAAACAGGCAGCAAAAUCCCG